rnacentral:rRNA from 1 species
AUUGAACGCUGGCGGCAUGCCUUACACAUGCAAGUCGAACGGCAGCACGGGAGCAAUCCUGGUGGCGAGUGGCGAACGGGUGAGUAAUAUAUCGGAACGUGCCCAGUCGUGGGGAUAACGUAGCGAAAGCUACGCUAAUACCGCAUACGAUCUAUGGAUGAAAGCGGGGGAUCGCAAGACCUCGCGCGAUUGGAGCGGCCGAUAUCAGAUUAGGUAGUUGGUGAGGUAAAGGCUCGCCAAGCCGACGAUCUGUAGCUGGUCUGAGAGGACGACCAGCCACACUGGGACUGAGACACGGCCCAGACUCCUACGGGAGGCAGCAGUGGGGAAUUUUUGGACAAUGGGCGCAAGCCUGAUCCAGCAAUGCCGCGUGCAGGAUGAAGGCCU